AUUGAACGCUGGCGGCGUGCCUAAUACAUGCAAGUCGAGCGAAGCGGGGACGGGUGAGUAACACGUGGAUAACAUCCUAUACGACUGGGAUAACUUCGGGAAACGGGAGCUAAACCGGAUAAUUAUAGAUGGAUCCGCGCUGCAUUAGCUAGUUGGUAAGGUAACGGUUUACCAAGGCAACGAUGCAUAGCCGACCUGAGAGGGUGAUCGGCCACACUGGAACUGAGACACGGUCCAGACUCCGACGGGAGGAAGAAGUAGGGAAUCUUCCGCAAUGGGCGAAAGCCUGACGGAGCAACGCCGCGUGAGUGAUGAAGGUCUUCGGAUCGUAAAACUCUGUUAUUAGGGAAGCGGUACCUAAUCAGAAAGCCACGGCUAACUACGGGCCAGCCGCCGCGGUAAUUC
rnacentral:rRNA from 1 species